GACGAACGCUGGCGGCGUGCCUAAUACAUGCAAGUUGAGCGCUGAAGGUUGGUACUUGUACCAACUGGAUGAGCAGCGAACGGGUGAGUAACGCGUGGGGAAUCUGCCUUUGAGCGGGGGACAACAUUUGGAAACGAAUGCUAAUACCGCAUAAAAACUUUAAACACAAGUUUUAAGUUUGAAAGAUGCAAUUGCAUCACUCAAAGAUGAUCCCGCGUUGUAUUAGCUAGUUGGUGAGGUAAAGGCUCACCAAGGCGAUGAUACAUAGCCGACCUGAGAGGGUGAUCGGCCACAUUGGGACUGAGACACGGCCCAAACUCCUACGGGAGGCAGCAGUAGGGAAUCUUCGGCAAUGGACGAAAGUCUGACCGAGCAACGCGGCGUGAGUGAAGAAGGUUUUCGGAUCGUAAAACUCUGUUGGUAGGGAAGAACGUUGGUUAGAGUGGAAAGCUCAGCAAGUGACGGUAACUAGCCAGAAAGGGACGGCUAACUACGUG
rnacentral:rRNA from 1 species